UUCCUACGGGGGGCAGCAGUGGGGAAUAUUGCACAAUGGGGGAAACCCUGAUGCAGCGACGCCGCGUGAGCGAUGAAGUAUUUCGGUAUGUAAAGCUCUAUCAGCAGGGAAGAAAAUGACGGUACCUGACUAAGAAGCCCCGGCUAACUACGUGCCAGCAGCCGCGGUAAUACGUAGGGGGCAAGCGUUAUCCGGAUUUACUGGGUGUAAAGGGAGCGUAGACGGCAAUGCAAGCCAGAUGUGAAAGCCCGGGGCUCAACCCCGGGACUGCAUUUGGAACUGUGUAGCUGGAGUGUCGGAGAGGG
rnacentral:rRNA from 1 species